rnacentral:lncRNA from 1 species
CCUCUUUCACCCGAGAAGCCUUGCGUGCACUGUUAGCAAACUCACACAAGUGAAGAGGGACCUUUCUUUGCUACACAGCGUCCUCCGUGGCGAGCUGGAGGGAAGCGCUCUCAGCAGAGAGGGUCGCCCUCACCAAGAAGCCAAAGGGAAGAGGACAGAAUCUAUCUUGUAGGGACGCCCUUGGUCUUCAGAAGGAACACUUUUUCUGUUUCACAGAGAUCUGUGGAAUGUGUGGGUUCCCUGAAGAGGUGGACGGACCCCCGGGGUCGCGCGUUUUCUCAGCCCUGGGCCCGUAGCGGAGCUCGAUCCUUCCAGAGCUCAGGGCCAGAAAUGUUGCGAUUCCGAACACUUUGCCUUUCUUCUGAGAGGAGCCGCCCGGCAGACGCUCAUCAUUAAGAAGCAACGUAAUUAACAACGAAUGUUUCCCCUUGGCGCUAAUGCGAACACCCUGGGGAACUGCCAAGUCUGAUAUGUCCACCGCAUUACAAAUGGGAUUCUCUGGCAUCUGACCAACCCUCACAAUGGCUACUGGCCAUCUCAUGCCCAACAGGACAAUGCUUAUUUCCACCAGGAGAUGGCGCAUGCCUUUUUUUUUUUUUUUUUAAAUCCCCAGGAAGGUCUCAGUGCUGCAAAAGCUCCAUGACCAUUCUGCUUCUAAACUGACGGAGCAAACAUAUAUUUCCAGUGGUAAUGCUAGGAAAUACUUUGCUAAGGAUGUUACUUUGGUCCUUCAGCCAGUGGUCAGAGAACAGAAUGACCAUACUGCAACCACCCAUGGUGAACUGACUGGCACACCUACAAAAAUCUUAUCUUUGGGGUCCCCAUAGUACCCAGUGGAUUGCCUUGCACAUUGUAGGUGCUCAGUAUGUGUUUGCUAAAGACAUGACCCUGGAUAAAUCACUUCACCUCAAUUAGUCUGUUUCCCAAAUCUGAAAAUAAAAGCAGUGAAAUGGACAAGGUGACAGUUAAGGCCUUGAAUCAGAAGAGCCUCUGACAAUGUGACAAAUAGCUUGUAAGUAUCACAUAGCUCUUUCCUUUCUCUCUCCCCCAUAAAAUGAAACGUGGUGUUCCUGUUAGUAAUUUAGUUAGGAUCAGUUGGAAAUUUUUAAAAUGCAAUCCCAAAUUUGGAUAAAAUGUUCUGUUUUUAUUUAGUCUGGAAGCCACUAACUGCUGAGUCCCAGACUGUCAAUCCACAAAGAUUUCACUGAAAAUUUAAGAGAAAAUGAAAGCUACUCAGUCUUUCUCAUAGUAGUCUUUUAAGGAAAUAAAACAUGCAAGAAAAUACUGCAGUAACCCAGGAGAAAUGAAAAGCACAGACUGCACACUGGGACACGUGUUACAUGGCUGGCUCAAGGAGCUUCAGAAGCAGAGGCUCACGGACUGGGCCAAACCAGACAGUGCGCUCCUACUCAGACCUUUCCUGAUUUUCAGGAUUUGCGCCAACACCCACCUUAAUGCCUCAGAGAUGCUUGCUGAAUGGCUGACUUCUCUGAAAGGGAAAACAGCAGAAUCUGAGAGGGGAGAGUGGAGCGGAGUUCUUCCUCCCCUGUGCUAACAGGUAUGUGAUUCCUAUUAUUGUCUUUGGUGGGAAGGGAAGCAUGAGGCAGGCCCCUGGUCUACAGUGGAAGUGAAGCCUGAGGAUAGGCUAAGAAUUAGGGAAAUUAACAGGCUCCUAGGAGUCAGAAUGCUCAGCUUCUAUUCCCAGCACUGCUUAAAAUUUUCAGGGGAAAGUACUUUAUAAUCCUUGCAGCAUUUGGUGCCUUUAUUAGAAAAUCCUUUUAUGUGAGAUUUUGAGUUUCUUAUUUUCUCUCCUCACCAGGAUAAUGCACAGAAAGAGCUGAGGUGGGAGUCCGAGAGACAGGGGUCUGACAUGUAUAAUAUACUCUGCUGCACAGGAUUAUCAUGAGGGUUAAAUGAAAUAAUAAAUGUAGAUUACACUUAGCUCAGGACCUGCCACACACUUAGCUGAGGGCCAGGAAUUCAAUAACCAAUGACUAUCAAUGUCAAUCAUUCUAGCUAUUUUGUAGAUGCAAAGUCCAAUAGAAACAGAAAGGGUGCAAAGCUAAAACUUUUAAAAUACUCAGACCCAGACUCUAAUCCAUUAAAAAAAAAAAAGCAAAAAACAAAAAAGAUAAUCCCUAAUUUUUCUUAACCUUGCAUUUUUCCAUUGAGAGGUGGUGACUUCCUAAAAUGGAGGUAGACAGAUAGAUAGAGAAUCUGUAUAACAACAUACGUAAUCUAGAUACCUAUAUCUUUAUAAGGAAACCAGGUAAGGGACACUUGAGAAA